AGAUUGAACGCUGGCGGCAUGCCUAACACAUGCAAGUCGAACGGGAGUAGCAAUACUCUAGUGGCGGACGGGUGAGGAAUACGUAGGAAUUUGCCCUUAAGUGGGGGAUAACCCGGGGAAACCCGGAUUAAUACCGCAUGACCUCGAAAGAGCAAAGUGGGGGAUCGCAAGACCUCACGCUUUUGGAGAAGCCUACGUCGGAUUAGCUAGUUGGUGAGGUAAUGGCUCACCAAGGCGACGAUCCGUAACUGGUCUGAGAGGAUGAUCAGUCACGACCGGACUGAGACACGGUCCGACUCCGUACGGGAGCAGCAGGUGGGAAUAGUGGACAAGUGGGCGACAACGCCUAGGACUACCGAG
rnacentral:rRNA from 1 species